UGCCCUGGUAACUUUGCCUAGGGGUAUCGGUCUUGUAUUCCAAAGAUCAGAGGUUAAACCCCUCCCCAACGUU
rnacentral:tRNA from 1 species